rnacentral:lncRNA from 1 species
AAACAAGUUUGCCUAGCAUCACACAGCAGCCUAUGUUCAGCUGGGACCACCGAGCCUUUUGGCUCAGCACAGGUGCAAUGCAAAGGAGCCUUGCUUUUCCUGGGCUCAGGGAAAGUUGAAUGCAACCUGAGAAUAGGUUGUUCCUGGGGAACGGUGUUGAACUUAACCCUCCUUCCUCCACUCUUUAAAAUCAGAUGGGCUCUGUGCUGAAGACUGACACUGACAGCUUUCAGCCAGGAACUUAUCUUUCCCAGCAACAAAGGACAGGUGCCAGCCAUAGCAACAGUUUCAGACCCGUGUAAUCACCUGUGCUGUAGCCGACCUCCAUCACCUGUCCCCCUUUAUCCUGGGCUCUGUUCCUGUGGAUUUGAACAAAUAGAUGAGAGGCAUCGGAAGAAAGCUUUAGCUGCAUGUGUUUGGGUGACCACGAGAGGGCAGCACGUAAAAGACCAGUGUCAGCCCCGCUGCCUUCUUGAACACACCGGAAGCCUCCUAGGAAAACUGUAGACUUUGUCGGACUGUGAAGUAGAGGAGUCAAAGAGCCUUCAUUGCUUCCUUUUAAAUG